rnacentral:rRNA from 1 species
GACGACCUCUGGCGGCGCGCCUAACACAUGCAAGUCGAACGAGCAAGAGAGAGCUUGCUUUCUCGAGCGAGUGGCGAACGGGUGAGUAACGCGUGAGGAACCUGCCUCAAAGAGGGGGACAACAGUUGGAAACGACUGCUAAUACCGCAUAAGCCCACGGGUCGGCAUCGACCAGAGGGAAAAGGAGCAAUCCGCUUUGAGAUGGCCUCGCGUCCGAUUAGCUAGUUGGUGAGGUAACGGCCCACCAAGGCGACGAUCGGUAGCCGGACUGAGAGGUUGAACGGCCACAUUGGGACUGAGACACGGCCCACACUCCUACGGGAGGCAGCAGUGGGGAAUAUUGCACAGUGGGGGAAACCCUGAUGCAGCGACGCCGCGUGGAGGGAAGAAGGUCUUUCGGAUGUAAAACUCCUGUUGUUGAGGAAGGAUAAGGACGGUACUCAACAAGGAAGUGACGGCUAACUACGUGCCAGCAGCCGCGGUAAAACGUAGGUCACAAGCGUUGUCCGGAAUUACUGGGUGUAAAGGGAGCGCAGGCGGGAAGACAAGUUGGAAGUGAAAUCCAUGGGCUCAACCCAUGAACUGCUUUCAAAACUGUUUUUCUUGGGUAGUGCAGAGGUAGGCGGAAUUCCCGGUGUAGCGGUGGAAUGCGUAGAUAUCGGGAGGAACACCAGUGGCGAAGGCGGCCUACUGGGCACCAACUGACGCUGAGGCUCGAAAGUGUGGGUAGCAAACAGGAUUAGAUACCCUGGUAGUCCACACCGUAAACGAUGAUUACUAGGUGUUGGAGGAUUGACCCCUUCAGUGCCGCAGUUAACACAAUAAGUAAUCCACCUGGGGAGUACGACCGCAAGGUUGAAACUCAAAGGAAUUGACGGGGGCCCGCACAAGCAGUGGAGUAUGUGGUUUAAUUCGACGCAACGCGAAGAACCUUACCAAGUCUUGACAUCCUGCGACGGUGCUGGAAACAGUAUUUUCCUUCGGGACGCAGAGACAGGUGGUGCAUGGUUGUCGUCAGCUCGUGUCGUGAGAUGUUGGGUUAAGUCCCGCAACGAGCGCAACCCUUAUGGUCAGUUACUACGCAAGAGGACUCUGGCCAGACUGCCGUUGACAAAACGGAGGAAGGUGGGGAUGACGUCAAAUCAUCAUGCCCUUUAUGACUUGGGCUACACACGUACUACAAUGGCGUUAAACAAAGAGAAGCAAGACCGCGAGGUGGAGCAAAACUCAGAAACAACGUCCCAGUUCGGACUGCAGGCUGCAACUCGCCUGCACGAAGUCGGAAUUGCUAGUAAUCGUGGAUCAGCAUGCCACGGUGAAUACGUUCCCGGGCCUUGCACU